UCUCCGUUGGUGAACCAGCGGAGGGAUCAUUACAGGACUCGCAAGACUCCUUCACCCUGUGAACCUCACUACGAGCACGUUGCUUCGGCGGGUGUCCCGGCGGGGGUUUUCCCUCGCCGGGGCGCACAGCCCGCCGGCAGCCUACUAUACUCGGUCUCUUUGCGUUGGCAUCUCGAGAAAAAACAAACAAGUUAAAACUUUCAACAACGGAUCUCUUGGUUCUG
rnacentral:misc_RNA from 1 species